rnacentral:rRNA from 1 species
CAGUAGCCACGGUAAUACGAAGGGUGCAAGCGUUACUCGGAAUUACUGGGCGUAAAGCGUGCGUAGGUGGUGGUUCAAGUCCGUUGUGAAAGCCCUGGGCUCAACCUGGGAAUUGCAGUGGAUACUGGGUCACUAGAGUGUGGUAGAGGAUAGUGGAAUUUCCGGUGUAGCAGUGAAAUGCGUAGAGAUCGGAAGGAACAUCUGUGGCGAAGGCGACUAUCUGGGCCAACACUGACACUGAGGCACGAAAGCGUGGGGAGCAAACAGGAUUAGAUACCCCAGUAGUCCCUGUCUCUUAUAC